GGUGAGUAAGAUUUGGGAAACUACCUGAUAGAGGGGGACAACAGUUGGAAACGACUGCUAAUACCGCAUACAGCCUCAGGGUGAAAGAAGGAAUUCGCUAUCAGAUGUGCCCAAACGGGAUUAGCUAGUAGGUGAGGUAAAGGCUCACCUAGGCGACGAUCUCUAGCUGGUCUGAGAGGAUGAUCAGCCACAUUGGGACUGAGACACGGCCCAGACUCCUACGGGAGGCAGCAGUAGGGAAUAUUGCACAAUGGAGGAAACUCUGAUGCAGCCAUGCCGCGUGUGUGAAGAAGGCCUUCGGGUUGUAAAGCACUUUCGGAGGGGAGGAAAGAAUGAC
rnacentral:rRNA from 1 species